ensembl:ncRNA ZC334.14 ncRNA
AAGGAUCUAAGGAUCUAAGGAUCUAAGGAUCUAAGAAUCUAAGGAUCUAAGGAUCUAAGGGCCUAAGGAUCUAUGGAUCUAAAGGAAUCUAA